CACACACCACCUUACUCCGCUCACCACCGACUCCUCACUCUUUCUCCUACCUCGCGAUUUGCCCUAGCGGAGGAUCCCCUCACCUCCUCCCUCCUCCUCCUCCUCCUCCUCGAUCUCGACCUCUUCCUCCUCGAUCUCGACCUCUUCGGCGAGGCCAUGGGGGACAGAGUCGACUACGUGUUCAAGGUGGUGCUCAUCGGGGACUCGGCGGUGGGGAAGUCGCAGAUCCUGGCGCGGUUCGCGC
rnacentral:lncRNA from 1 species